rnacentral:rRNA from 1 species
GCGUGAGUGAAGAAGGCUUUCGGGUCGUAAAGCUCUGUCAGGUGGGAAGAAUAAAGCCCGGGUUACGCCGGGCCUUGACCGCCACCAAAGGAAGCGCCGGCUAACUCCGUGCCAGCAGCCGCGGUAAUACGGAGGGCGCAAGCGUUGUCCGGAAUCAUUGGGCGUAAAGGGCGUGUAGGCGGCCUGACAAGUCCGGUGUGAAAGCCCCCGGCUCAACCGGGGAAGUGCAUUGGAAACUGUCGGGCUUGAGUGCGGGAGAGGGAGGUGGAAUUCCCAGUGUAGCGGUGAAAUGCGU